UACAGCCAAAUCACGUUGAAACACUGGUUUUUGUACGAUCACCGCAGUUAAGCAACUUCGGGUCAGGUCAGUACCUAAGAGGGUGAGCCCAUGGGAAUAAUAGGU